rnacentral:lncRNA from 1 species
UUUAACCCGAGCCCGCCUGGAGGGGUGAGCAGCCGCCACACAGCGCCCCUGCUUAUCACAGAGUCACUUACACCUCCGAAUCAUUGACACCAACCAAACAUCACCGCUCUAGUCUUUCCUUAAACAGCUCCCUGGGCAGCCCGUGCUGAGGUGCAAUCAGCCUUUCUGUGAAGAAAUUCCUCCUGAUGUCCAACCUAAACGUCCCCUGGCGCGCCUUAGAACCUUGUCCUCUCGUCCUGUCGCUGUUUGCCUGGCGGCAGAGCCCGAUCCCCUCCUGGCCUCCAGCUCCUGACAGGGAAUUGCAGAGAUCCACAGGGUCCCCCUGAGCCUCCUGUGCGCCCCCUCAGCCGCUCCUCGCAGCCCUUGUGCUCCAGAGCCUUCCCCAGCCCCGUCCCGAUCCCUGGGCAGCCUCCAGCACCUCAGGCUCCUUCUGGUCGUGAGGGGCCCGACCCUGGGCGCCGCUGCACCGCCACAGAAGUGUCCCAAAAGUGUCCUUGUGUGCCACCCGCACAGGUGUGUCCGGUUCUGCUGUGGGCACCGAGAGGCUGCCCUGGGUUCGCGGCUGGCAGAACCUGCAGCUCUGGGCUCCCUGCAGACCCCCGGCUCUGAGCGUGCUGCUGAACCACUGGGAACGAACAAGACCGUGCAGAUGCCCCCACUUUGAACAGCCUAAAGAAAACAGACAUCUAAACUGUCUCAUCCCGUUUGAGGAUGUCAGCUAAAUGACAGGGAGCAAGAAAGCCUCAUGGAUCAAAAGGAGCUUUUCCAGGGAACUUCUUUUGCUGCUAUGAUGAAAGAGUGCCUUGUGUCUAUGAAGAGAUUGUUUAUACAGCAUGUCACGACAGUUCCACUGACCAACAUUAUUUUAGAUUUUGCCCUGCAAGGAUUCCUAAACGUUUCACAAUUUUGGGGCAAUAUCACCUCGGUACAGCUUGGAAUGAGUGCUGCAGGUGCAGGCAGCAGAUGUGAUCCCAUCCCUUGGG